ACUAUUUUGGCAGAAAAGUGUAAUGGUUUUAGAAAUCAUAAAUAUAUAAUUUUAUUAUAUAGAUAGUA
rnacentral:tRNA from 1 species